AAAUCUCUCUAUGUUUACCUAAUUAAGCUUAAAGAAAGGAAUCAAAGGAAAAAGUAGGCAAAUCAAGGCAAAUAGGAUGCAUGCAAUUCAACUAGAAACGACUCGAGAUCAUCGAUGAUAACACUUUUGCGUAUGAUAUAAAGAAAAAAGGUUGUGUAAACUAUGAAUCCUUAUUUGAGUGGCUCAAUGGAUUAUCAGCUCUAAGAAAACACCCUUUAC